CGCCGCGUGUGCGAGAAGGUCUUCGGAUCGUAAGCACUGUUGUUAAGGAAGAACGACAGUAAGAGUAACUGCUUACUGUGUGACGGUACUUAACCAGAAAGCCACGGCUAACUACGUGCCAGCAGCCGCGGUAAUACGUAGGUGGCAAGCGUUAUCCGGAAUUAUUGGGCGUAAAGCGCGCGUAGGCGGCGAGAUUAGUCUGAUGUGAAAGCCCCCGGCUCAACCGGGGAAGGUCAUUGGAAACUGUUUCGCUUGAGUGCAGAAGAGGAGAGUGGAAUUCCAUGUGUAGCGGUGAAAUGCGCAGAGAUAUGGAGGAACACCAGUGGCGAAGGCGGCUCUCUGGUCUGCAACUGACGCUGAUGUGCGAAAGCGUGGGGAUCAAACAGGAUUAGAUACCCUGGUAGUCCACGCCGUAAACGAUGAGUGCUAAGUGUUAGGGGGUUUCCGCCCCUUAGUGCUGCAGCAAACGCAUUAAGCACUCCGCCUGGGGAGUACGG
rnacentral:rRNA from 1 species